GUUCAUAACCAACAGAAUCAUCAUGAAGUGAAAAUCUAAACAAAUCACCAUUAAAAUGAGAAAGGACAUGAAGAACAAAAGAAAUUUCUUGAUAGACUAAGCAACAAGAAAACAUUUUUGAAAGAUAAGAAACUUGAAAGUUGAAUUGCUGAUAAUUGAAAUGAAGAAGGCAGAAACUUCUAGCAAUCUAGUUUUGACGAAGAUGGAUCCACACUUUCUCAAAUUCUCUAGCAAUCUUUAAAUGAGAUGAAGAUAUGAGAUGUAAAGCAGAGAAAGAGGAAG
rnacentral:misc_RNA from 1 species